rnacentral:rRNA from 1 species
UACGUAGGUGGCUAGCGUUGUCCGGAUUUACUGGGCGUAAAGAGCGCGCAGGCGGUCGUUCAAGUCGAGUGUGAAAGCCCCCGGCUCAACUGGGGAGGGUCACUCGAUACUGAUCGACUCGAAGGCAGGAGAGGGAAGCGGAAUUCCCGGUGUAGUGGUGAAAUGCGUAGAUAUCGGGAGGAACACCAGUGGCGAAGGCGGGUCUCUGGGCCGAUACGUGACGCUGAGGAGCGAAAGCGUGGGGAGCAAACAGG